AGAGUUUGAUUCUGGCUCAGAUUGAACGCUGGCGGCAGGCCUAACACAUGCAAGUCGAGCGGAAACGAUCCUAGCUUGCUAGGAGGCGUCGAGCGGCGGACGGGUGAGUAAUGCAUAGGAAUCUGCCCGGUAGUGGGGGAUAACCUGGGGAAACCCAGGCUAAUACCGCAUACGCCCUACGGGGGAAAGCAGGGGAUCUUCGGACCUUGCGCUAUCGGAUGAGCCUAUGUCGGAUUAGCUAGUUGGUGAGGUAACGGCUCACCAAGGCUGCGAUCCGUAGCUGGUCUGAGAGGAUGAUCAGCCACAUCGGGACUGAGACACGGCCCGAACUCCUACGGGAGGCAGCAGUGGGGAAUAUUGGACAAUGGGCGAAAGCCUGAUCCAGCCAUGCCGCGUGUGUGAAGAAGGCCUUCGGGUUGUAAAGCACUUUCAGUGAGGAAGAAAGCCUUGAGGUUAAUACCUUCGAGGGAGGACAUCACUCACAGAAGAAGCACCGGCUAACUCCGUGCCAGCAGCCGCGGUAAUACGGAGGGUGCGAGCGUUAAUCGGAAUUACUGGGCGUAAAGCGCGCGUAGGCGGCUUGAUAAGCCGGUUGUGAAAGCCCCGGGCUCAACCUGGGAACGGCAUCCGGAACUGUCAGGCUAGAGUGCAGGAGAGGAAGGUAGAAUUCCCGGUGUAGCGGUGAAAUGCGUAGAGAUCGGGAGGAAUACCAGUGGCGAAGGCGGCCUUCUGGACUGACACUGACGCUGAGGUGCGAAAGCGUGGGUAGCAAACAGGAUUAGAUACCCUGGUAGUCCACGCCGUAAACGAUGUCGACUAGCCGUUGGGCUCCUUGAGAGCUUUGUGGCGCAGUUAACGCGAUAAGUCGACCGCCUGGGGAGUACGGCCGCAAGGUUAAAACUCAAAUGAAUUGACGGGGGCCCGCACAAGCGGUGGAGCAUGUGGUUUAAUUCGAUGCAACGCGAAGAACCUUACCUACCCUUGACAUCGAGAGAACUUUCCAAAGAUGGAUUGGUGCCUUCGGGAACUCUCAAACAGGUGCUGCAUGGCUGUCCUCAGCUCGGGUUGGGAAAUGUUGGGUUAAGUCCCGU
rnacentral:rRNA from 1 species